rnacentral:rRNA from 1 species
UGGGGAACCUUAGACAAUGGGGGAAACUCUGAUCCAGCCAUGCCGCGUGAGUGAAGAAGGCCUUAGGGUUGUAAAGCUCUUUCAAUGGUGAAGAUAAUGACGGUAGCCAUACAAGAAGCCCCGGCUAAAUUCGUGCCAGCAGCCGCGGUAAUACGAAUGGGGCAAGCGUUGUUCGGAAUCACUGGGCUUAAAGCGUGCGUAGGCGGACUGUAAAGUCAGAAGUGAAAUCCCAGGGCUCAACCCUGGAACUGCUUUUGAAACUCACAGUCUCGAAUCCGGUAGAGGUCAGGAGAAUUCCUAGUGUAGAGGUGAAAUUCGCAGAUAUUAGGAGGAACACCAGUGGCGUAGGCGCCUGACUGGGCCGGUAUUGACGCUGAGGUACGAAAGCGUGGGGAGCAAACAGGAUUAGAUACCCGCGUAGUCC